rnacentral:lncRNA from 1 species
CGGUAUUAAUUACUAGGGGAGGCUAGGGAUAGCAAGCCAGUAGUUAAUAUUAGGCCCUUUUCGCCGAGGGAUUGGGUUGAGGGGAGGCUAAGAAAGUCGCAUAACAAUUGAAUCAAUCAACUAAUAUUCAAGGGUAAUAUGUAAGAGAGAGUGGAAUAGAUGAAAUUGUUAGUACUCAACAACAUCCAUUCAUCCAUUGUUUUGUGUUUAACCUCAAUUGAUCAAAUUGCAUUCAUGUUUAUUUUUCUG